rnacentral:rRNA from 2 species
UCACCAACGCGUUUUGGCUUAGUUAGUUGUGGAGCACAUGAAAACUCCACAGUUAAGUGUGCUCAGGUGGGUGUAGUACUAGGAUGGGUGACCUCCUGCAAGUCUCCAUUGAGGGCAAC